GAUUUUCAAUUUUCUCGAAACAAUGUAUUUUUGAUGACUUAUUCUGGUGUAUAAGUGAAUUUCGAGUACAUUUUGCCCUCUGCGAAAAUCCUGUCAGACGUGCCGUUAACGUGCUACUGACGUUUAAAUUUUUUUUUUAAUUGUAUUUUAUUAUUAAAAAUUCUGAAAAUAAUCAUGAGCGUUUCUGUUCAUAUUUUAAAUCUUAUCCUAGAAUUUCAAAUGAUUCUAUCCAAAAUUAGAAAAGUUAUACCACUUUUUAAAAUUAUAUCACAGUUUAUGGGGAAAAUCGUGCAGUAUCUGAACUAUACACACUUGAACUUUGAAUGAUUUCAAUUCAAAUAAUAACUACUUCUACUAUUUAUCGAUUCCAACAUUAUUUCAGUGUCAAGCGUCCCCCCAUAAAAAUCAUUAACCCGCACCUGAAAUAUCAAUUUUUUAAUAAGAUUGUCAAUAUCAUUAAUUUUGAAAUUCCCACCAUCCAUAAGCCUACUAUGGUAUCGAAUUAAACUAUCAAUAUAUUAUGAGAUGAAUGUAUCGAAGUUUCAACAAUCGAUAUAUUAAACAAACAAAUUCCAACUUUUUUCUGGGGCAAACUGGUUUUAUUGCAUUGAACAAUGUAGAAAUUAGGACAGUAUUUCACUUUUACUUAUUUAAAAUAUGUAAUUUGAAUAAUGCAUUCCCAAACAAGUUUAAAAAUGUAUAAUUAUAAAUAAUCAAAUAUCGAUGAUAUAUUGAUACUUCCAUAGUAGGUUUUUUGAUCAUGGGAAAGCGGUUGUUGGUAGGAAUGGCAGGAAUGGCUUGUAAUUGUAACGAUUGGGCUUUGGAUUGUAACGGAUUUUUUGGUGCCUGUUGUAUUGUGAUUUUUGUGAAAGAUCCAGUUUAAGGAGCUGUGGUGAUAAAAUUUUCCAACACAAAAGAAAAAGACAUGGAAGCAGUAAUCAAAGACUGGCUGAAGUCUUCAAAAAUUCGGUUUACCAGUAAAGAGAAAUCUAAAAAAUGUUCAAACACCGGAUCCUGGAGAAAAAUCUGAAUACUUCAAAAAUUGAGAUAGAAUUGAGGUGCAGUAACAUAAACCCGUAUGUAGCUCAAAUAAUUGCUACUUCAAACAGGAAGAGAAUAAAGUAAUCUGGAGCACCACAAUAAGGACCUUUCUUCAUAGAUAAAUGAUAUGCAUAUAGUUAUUUUAAUAAACAACUUUUCACAUUA